rnacentral:rRNA from 1 species
CUACGGAGGGGGCUAGCGUUGUUCGGAAUUACUGGGCGUAAAGCGCGUGUAGGCGGAUCGUUAAGUCAGGGGUGAAAGCCCGGGGCUCAACCCCGGAACUGCCCUUGAUACUGGCGAUCUAGAGUCCGGAAGAGGUGGGCGGAAUUCCCGGUGUAGAGGUGAAAUUCGUAGAUAUCGGGAGGAACACCAGUGGCGAAGGCGGCUCACUGGUCCGGCACUGACGCUGAGACGCGAAAGCGUGGGGAGCAAACAGGAUUAGAAACCCUAGUAGUCC